rnacentral:rRNA from 1 species
GUAGGUGGCAAGCGUUGUCCGGAAUUAUUGGGCGUAAAGCGCGCGCAGGUGGUUCUUUAAGUCUGAUGUGAAAGCCCCCGGGCUCAACCGGGGAGGGUCAUUGGAAACUGGGGAACUUGAGUGCAGGAGAGGAAAGUGGAAUUCCACGUGUAGCGGUGAAAUGCGUAGAUAUGUGGAGGAACACCAGUGGCGAAGGCGACUUUCUGGCCUGUAACUGACACUGAGGCGCGAAAGCGUGGGGAGCAACCAGGAUUAGAUACCCUGGUAGUCCACGCCGUAAACGAUGAGUGCUAAGUGUUGGGGGGUUUCCGCCCCUCAGUGCUGCAGCUAACGCAUUAAGCACUCCGCCUGGGGAGUACGGUCGCAAAGACUG